rnacentral:tRNA from 1 species
GGUCCCGUAGCUCAGUUGGAUAGAGCAGCUGCCUUCUAAGCAGCGGGUCGGGAGUUCGAAUCUUCCCGGGAUCGCCA